UGGGGGAUAUUGCACAAUGGGCGAAAGCCUGAUGCAGCGACGCCGCGUGGGGGAUGAAGGCUUUCGGGUUGUAAACCUCUUUCGCUAUCGAACAAGGCCCGCUUAGGGUGGGUUGAGGGUAGGUGGAGAAGAAGCGCCGGCUAACUACGUGCCAGCAGCCGCGUUAAUACGUAGGGCGCGAGCGUUGUCCGGAAUUAUUGGGCGUAAAGGGCUUGUAGGCGGCUUGUUGCGCCUGCUGUGAAAACGCGGGGCUUAACUUCGCGCGUGCAGUGGGUACGGGCAGGCUUGAGUGUGGUAGGGGUGACUGGAAUUCCAGGUGUAGCGGUGGAAUGCGCAGAUAUCUGGAGGAACACCGAUGGCGAAGGCAGGUCACUGGGCCAUUACUGACGCUGAGGAGCGAAAGCAUGGGUAGCGAACAGG
rnacentral:rRNA from 1 species